UAAUCGUUAAGAAGCUAUGUGACAGCACUAGCCUUUUAAGCUAGAGAUAGAGGUUUAGCAACACCUCCUU
rnacentral:tRNA from 1 species